CCUACGGGGUGCAGCAUUGGGGAAUAUUGCACAAUGGGGGAAACCCUGAUGCAGCGACGCCGCGUGAGUGAAGAAGUAAUUCGUUAUGUAAAGCUCUAUCAGCAGGGAAGAAAAUGACGGUACCUGAGUAAUAAUCCCCGGCUAACUACGUGCCAGCCUCCGCGGUAAUACGUAGGGGGCAAGCGUUAUCCGGAUUUCCGGGGAUUAAAGGGAGCGUAGACGGCAGGUCAAGUCUGGAGGGAAAGGCGGGGGCUCAACCCCAGGACUGCUUUGGAAACUGUACGGCUGGAGUGCAGGAGAGGUAAGUGGAAUUGCUAGUGUAGAGGUGAAAUGCGUAGAUAUUAGGAGGAACACCAGUGGCGAAGGCGGCUUACUGGACUGUAACUGACGUUGAGGCUCGAAAGCGUGGGGAGCAAACAGGAUUAGAUACCCCGGUAGUC
rnacentral:rRNA from 1 species